UACGGAGGGGGCAAGCGUUGUCCGGAUUUACUGGGCGUAAAGAGCGUGUAGGCGGCCAAACAGGUCCGUUGUGAAAACUGGAGGCUCAACCUCCAGACGUCGACGGAAACCGUAUGGCUAGAGUCCGGAAGAGGAGAGUGGAAUUCCUGGUGUAGCGGUGAAAUGCGCAGAUAUCAGGAAGAACACCUAUGGCGAAGGCAGCUCUCUGGGACGGUACUGACGCUGAGACGCGAAAGCGUGGGGAGCGAACAGG
rnacentral:rRNA from 1 species